GAAGCAGGCCGGAUGGCCGCCGGCGCAGCGGGCAACCGCGGCGCGGGAGGAAAGUCGGGGCACCACAGAGCAGGGUAGCGGCUAACGACCGCCCGCGGCGACGCGAGGACCAGGGCCACAGAGACGAGCCGGUUCAGUCCGGAGUGAAACGCGGCAACCUCUACCCGGUGCAACACCAAAUAGGCAGGCGCUGACGCUGCUCGUCGAGCCUGCGGGUAGGUGGCUUGAGCCGCCGGGCAACCGGCGGCCUAGAGGAAUGGCCGUCAUAGGGCCGCCCGAAAGGACGGCCCCGUAACAGAACCCCGCUUACAGGCCUGUCUUCCAA
rnacentral:RNase_P_RNA from 1 species